AUUGAACGCUGGCGGCAGGCCUAACACAUGCAAGUCGAGCGGAUGACGGGAGCUUGCUCCUUGAUUCAGCGGCGGACGGGUGAGUAAUGCCUAGGAAUCUGCCUGGUAGUGGGGGACAACGUUUCGAAAGGAACGCUAAUACCGCAUACGUCCUACGGGAGAAAGCAGGGGACCUUCGGGCCUUGCGCUAUCAGAUGAGCCUAGGUCGGAUUAGCUAGUAGGUGAGGUAAUGGCUCACCUAGGCGACGAUCCGUAACUGGUCUGAGAGGAUGAUCAGUAACACGGGAACUGAGACACGGUCCAGACUCCUACGGGAGGCAGCAGUGGGGAAUAUUGGAUAAUGGGCGGAAGCCUGAUCCAGCCAUGCCGCGUGUGUGAAGAAGGUCUUCGGAUUGUAAAGCACUUUAAGUUGGGAGGAAGGGUUGUAGAUUAAUACUCUGCAAUUUUGACGUUACCGACAGAAUAAGCACCGGCUAACUCUGUGCCAGCAGCCGCCGCAGUAA
rnacentral:rRNA from 1 species